GAAACCAACAGGGAUUGCCUUAGUAACGGCGAGUGAAGCGGCAACAGCUCAAAUUUGAAAUCUGGCCCUUGGGUCCGAAUUGUAAUUUGUAGAGGAUGAUUUUGGUGCGGUAUCUUCCGAGUUCCUUGGAACAGGACGCCUUAGAGGGUGAGAGCCCCGUACGGUUGAAUGCCUAGCCUCUGUAAAUCUCCUUCGACGAGUCGAGUAGUUUGGGAAUGCUGCUCUAAAUGGGAGGUAAAUUUCUUCUAAAGCUAAAUAUUGGCCAGAGACCGAUAGCGCACAAGUAGAGUGAUCGAAAGAUGAAAAGCACUUUGAAAAGAGGGUUAAAUAGCACGUGAAAUUGUUGAAAGGGAAGGAUUUGUGACCAGACUUUUUCUGGGCGGAUCAUCCGGGGUUCUCUCCGGUGCACUUCGCCCAGUAAAGGCCAGCAUCGGUUUUCGGCGUGGGAUAAAAGCAGUAGGAAUGUGGCUCUCUACGGGGAGUGUUAUAGCCUAUUGUAUAAUACCGCGCUGGGGACCGAGGUUCGCGCUUCUGCAAGGAUGCUGGCGUAAUGGUUAUCAAUCACCCGUCUUGAAACACGGACCAAGGAGUCGAACAUUUGUGCGAGUGUUUGGGUGUUAAACCCUCACGCGUAAUGAAAGUGAACGGAGGUGAGAGCCCUUACGGGUGCAUCAUCGACCGAUCCUGAAGUUUUCGGAUGGAUUUGAGUAAGAGCAUAACUGUUCGGACCCGAAAGAUGGUGAACUAUGCGUGGAUAGGGUGAAGCCAGAGGAAACUCUGGUGGAGGCUCGCAGCGGUUCUGACGUGCAAAUCGAUCGUCAAAUCUGCGCAU
rnacentral:rRNA from 1 species